GUGCUCACUUCAGCAGCACAUGUACUAAAAUUGGAACAAUACAAAAAAGAUUAGCAUUGCCCCUUUACAAGUUUGACAUGCAAAUUCAUGAAGCAUUCCACGUUUUU